UUGAAGUUGUGCACUAUUAGUGGCAUGGUUGUCAUUUGUAUUUUUGUGAAAUCCAGAACAAACUUUUAAAAUAUAAUAUACAUAAAUAAUGUUCACAAAUUAUUACUAACAUUUUAAUUGUACAUGUAACUUAUUUGUAGAUGAGGGAAUACAAAAAGCAAGGACUUAAUUGAAAUUUCAUCAAAUAAUUUGAAUGAAAAUCCCAGAAAAAUUAUUCACUUCAACAUGUCUGCCGAAAUACAAAGCAACACUAUUUCCAAGGUGCGCAUGAUGCAACUUCCUGAAUGGUGUGUAUAGGCUGUUUGUCAACAUCUGAAACCCACGUGUAUUUCAGGGAGCAGUCUCUCCUUUUAAAGAUCCAAAAUGGCAGUUUUACAGUGCAGCAUACAGUCUGGUCAUCAACAGAGAGUUUUGACACUGAUAAUACCCAUAUGCCUGUAACCUUUGUAGAGUUCAUC